rnacentral:misc_RNA from 1 species
AAGUCGUAACAAGGUUUCCGUAGGUGAACCUGCGGAAGGAUCAAUCCUUAUAAUACAUACUUGUAUGUAUGCAUUUUAAACGAUGCCUAUUCUUCUCGGAGAAUAAGUGUAGUUGAAUUCAAACAGUUUCGUUUGAUCAACUGAACAACUCAAAAAACACUUUUUAGCCAUUUGAAACGUAAAAAGUUUUUCACAACUAUUAGUGGUGGAUCACUUGGCUCGCAGGUCG